rnacentral:rRNA from 1 species
CAGUAGCCGCGGUAAUACGAGGGGGGCAAGCGUUGUUCGGAAUUAUUGGGCGUAAAGGGCGCGUAGGCGGUUUGACAAGUCUGAUGUGAAAUCUCUGGGCUCAACCCAGAGUCUGCAUCGGAAACUGUCGAGCUUGAGUAUGGGAGAGGUGAGUGGAAUUUCCGGUGUAGCGGUGAAAUGCGUAGAUAUCGGAAGGAACACCUGUGGCGAAAGCGGCUCACUGGACCAUUACUGACGCUGAGGCGCGAAAGCUAGGGGAGCAAACAGGAUUAGAGACCCCCGUAGUCCCUGUCUCUUAUAC